rnacentral:rRNA from 1 species
AGUGAACGCUGGCGGCAGGCCUAACACAUGCAAGUCGAACGGUAACACGAUGAGGGUUUCUUCUUAGCUGUGGCGUGGCGGGGGGGUGAGAAAUGUCUGUCGAACUCUAUGAUUUCGUGGGGUAACACCUAGAAACGGUAACUAAUAUCGCGUAACGGCGCAACGGCAGAGAGCAGGGGAUCUUCGCAUCUUGCGAGAGUGAAUGCGCAGAUGUGGGAUUAGCUAGUGGGGGGGGUAACGGCUCACCGAGGAGACGAUCCGUCGCUGGUCUGAGAGGAUGACCAGCCACACUGGAACUGAGACACGGUCCAGACUCCUACGGGAGGCAGCAGUGGGGAAUAUUGCACAAUGGGCGCAAGCCUGAUGCAGCCAUGCCGCGUGUAUGAAGAAGGCCUUCGGGUUGUAAAGUACUUUCAGCGGGGAGGAAGAGAGUAAAGUUAAUACCUGUGCUCAUUGACGUUACCCGCAGAAGAAGCACCGGCUAACUCCGUG